rnacentral:rRNA from 1 species
CCUACGGGGGGCAGCAGUGAGGAAUAUUGGUCAAUGGGCGAGAGCCUGAACCAGCCAAGUCGCGUGAGGGAGUACUGCCCUAUGGGUUGUAAACCUCUUUUGUCGGGGAGCAAAAGCCGGACGUGUCCGGCUGUGAGAGUACCCGAAGAAAAAGCAUCGGCUAACUCCGUGCCAGCAGCCGCGGUAAUACGGAGGAUGCGAGCGUUAUCCGGAUUUAUUGGGUUUAAAGGGUGCGCAGGCGGGUUUUUAAGUUAGCGGUAAAAUCGUGGGGCUCAACCCCAUCCAGCCGUUGAAACUGGGGAUCUAGAGUGUGCGAGAGGUAUGCGGAAUGCGUGGUGUAGCGGUGAAAUGCAUAGAUAUCACGCAGAACCCCGAUUGCGAAGGCAGCAUACCGGUGCACAACUGACGCUCAGGCACGAAAGCGUGGGUAUCGAACAGGAUUAGAUACCCGGGUAGUC